AUCGCGCAGCUGAGUGUCAAGUGUGGAAUUUUGCAAUUGUUUUAGAUGCCAUUCCCUCAGGUGUUGCUUGAUUAUUGAGGAACGUGUCAAGACCCGGGCCCUGUUUCAGAAAGCAGGUUUAACAAACUGAGUUUAAACCUGAACUCUGGGUUGACUAACUCUGAGCUGUCAAACUCAAGAGUUUUCGGUUUCAGAGCAGGUGAUAACAAUUAGUUCAAUCAACUCUUGGUUAAGUUAACCCUGAGUUAAACACGUGCAUGAGGAGAUAAAAAGCCCUCAUCAAUGGAACGCAGAUAACAUGAUUCAUCAUGGCAACGGGAGAAAAGGGCUCGAACCUCCUACUUGUCCAGUGGAGUUAGACAUAUUAAUGAAUGCGUAUGCAGAAUAUGAGCAUAUAUUUAAGAAAAAAAGCAAUGCAGUAGCAGCAGCAAAAGAACGCACAAAACCUACUUGGCAGCCACUGAAGAUGAAAUAUAAAAAUAUACUUCAAACAGAAAAAGGCUGAGGGCUGAAAAACAGGUGAGGGUCCACCACCACUCACAGAGGCUGAAGAGAUGACCCUCAGUCAAAACAGUGGGUGACCUAUUGAUGAAGGUAUCUUUGGAGGAGCUCAUCUGACCCAGCCACCCCCCAGGACACAAGGGCCUACAUAAGAGUUUAGUUAUUCACAUUAAUGAUACGUACAUUCAUCCUUUUGCCAGUGUUUCCUCAGUGAUGCCCACCCAUCCAUCUUAGACACAACUUUGUACAAUUAUUUGUAAUUGACUUAUGUUACUUUUUCAGAUUCUUAGUUGUCCUUCAGAUCUAUUUUAAGGUGACUCAGAAUUAUAUAUUUGAAAAAAUUGUAAUGUGGCCUACACACUGUUGUAAAACCAAAAUUCAAAUUAUGUGGGGCACUUUUCUGGGUAAAGUUAUAAUUGAACUGUCUAAUCUUAAUAUUCUACCAGUUACUGAUCGUAUAAUCUGUCUGGAGCCUUCUGCCAUAACAGACCUCCAUGCAGUUGAGGAUGAUGAUGAAGACACCUUGUCAGCUGCCACAGAGAGGGAAGAUACAGAGAGGCCUAUUGAGGAUCACACCUUAAAAAUAACAUUUAACAGUUGAUGAUAGUGUUGUACCAUAAUAAAACUUGCACCUUUUUCUCUAACAGAGCAAUGCUGGAAAUUACACCUACACAGCACAACUUACCUCAGUAAGAUUCUGUUCAACAUUGGCCCAUUACAUACAAUGAAACUAAGUAGACCUGGCAGUGAAAUUCAAUGUCAUUUUUUAGUGUUCCUAUAGCUCCCUGUGAAAAAGCUGUACAAGGUGUACUUAAAGAACCAAAUUGAAAAAUGUAAUUUAGAAAUUGACCACAAGGCUGCAGAUGCAAAAGAUAGAAAUACAACUGCUGGAACAUCAGUUAAAGGUGGGUGAGGUGCCCACAGGUGGAUGAUUUUACUUGUUUGAACAACAUAAAUAUUAAACUACUGCACUGCAUUUGUACUUGCAGGAAAUA